CAGUCGCCACGGGAAUACGUAGGGGGCAAGCGUUAUCCGGAAUUACUGGGUGUAAAGGGAGCGUAGACGGUUAAACAAGUCUGAAGUGAAAUGCCGGGGCUCAACCCCGGAGCUGCUUUGGGAACUGUUAAACUUGAGUGCAGGAGAGAAAAGUGGAAUUCCUAGUGUAGCGGUGAAAUGCGUAGAGAUUAGGAGGAACACCAGUGGCGAAGGCGGCUUUUUGGCCUGUAACUGACACUGAGGCGCGAAAGCGUGGGGAGCAAACAGGAUUAGAGACCCCCGUAGUCCCUGUCUCUUAUAC
rnacentral:rRNA from 1 species